GCAUGCCGCAUGGUGUGUGGUGGAAAGAUUUAUCGGUGCAGGAUGGGCCCGCGGCCUAUCAGCUUGUUGGUGGGGUAAUGGCCUACCAAGGCGACGACGGGUAGCCGACCUGAGAGGGUGACCGGCCACACUGGGACUGAGACACGGCCCAGACUCCUACGGGAGGCAGCAGUGGGGAAUAUUGCACAAUGGGCGGAAGCCUGAUGCAGCGACGCCGCGUGAGGGAUGAAGGCCUUCGGGUUGUAAACCUCUUUCAGCAGGGACGAAGCGUGAGUGACGGUACCUGCAGAAGAAGCACCGGCUAACUACGUGCCAGCAGCCGCGGUAAUACGUAGGGUGCGAGCGUUGUCCGGAAUUACUGGGCGUAAAGAGUUCGUAGGCGGUUUGUCGCGUCGUUUGUGAAAACCCGGGGCUCAACUUCGGGCUUGCAGGCGAUACGGGCAGACUUGAGUGUUUCAGGGGAGACUGGAAUUCCUGGUGUAGCGGUGAAAUGCGCAGAUAUCAAGAGGAACACCGGUGGCGAAAGCGGGUCUCUGGGAAACAACUGACGCUGAGGAACGAAAGCGUGGGUAGCAAACAGGAGUA
rnacentral:rRNA from 1 species